GACGAACGCUGGCGGCGUGCUUAACACAUGCAAGUCGAACGGAAAGGCCCUGCUUUUGUGGGGUGCUCGAGUGGCGAACGGGUGAGUAACACGUGAGUAACCUGCCCUUGACUUUCGGAUAACUUCAGGAAACUGGGGCUAAUACCGGAUAGGAGCUCCUGCUGCAUGGUGGGCGUUGGAAAGUUUCGGCGGUUGGGGAUGGACUCGCGGCUUAUCAGCUUGUUGGUGGGGUAGUGGCUUACCAAGGCUUUGACGGGUAGCCGGCCUGAGAGGGUGACCGGCCACAUUGGGACUGAGAUACGGCCCAGACUGCUACGGGAGGCAGCAGUGGGGAAUAUUGCACAAUGGGCGGAAGCCUGAUGCAGCAACGCCGCGUGCGGGAUGACGGCCUUCGGGUUGUAAACCGCUUUCGCCUGUGACGAAGCGUGAGUGACGGUAAUGGGUAAAGAAGCACCGGCUAACUACGUG
rnacentral:rRNA from 1 species